AGGACAUUUGCCUAAUACCACACACGGAUACAGCUAAUAUUUACACCGAUGGAGAUCACUUUGGUGAAUCUGAGCUAGAAAAGACUGCUGGGAAUACGGAGCCAUCAUUUUAAAAGUAGAAGAUAUGAUAUCACAAUUCCAGAAGCACCCAGUGCAGCAGAUUCUCCAAUGGUGUUUACCAGGUCAUCCUAAGAGGAAAUGUGUGAAGGAUUAUGCAAAUGUCUCCAGUUUUCCCAGUCAAUGACAGCCAAUCCAAAAUGUUCAUCUGAAGGAAUAUAGAACUGAAUGUCCUCUUUGGCUUUUUUCAAAUGAUUCUCCAGCAGCGACAGUUGGGGGAGACCUCCAUUGAACGCCUCUCCUGUGAUUUCAUUUUUGUAAGGAUAAUAGCCAAGCCUGU